rnacentral:ncRNA from 1 species
ACAAUGGAGAGUUUGAUACUGGCUCAGGAUGAACGCUAGCGGCAGGCUUAAUACAUGCAAGUCGAGGGAGAAGUCGAGUGCUUGCACUUGACUGAAACCGGCAAACGGGUGAGUAACACGUAUGCAACUUACCUCCAUCUGGGGAAUAGCUCCGGGAAACUGGAAAUAAUACCCCAUAGUAUCGGGAAUUCGCAUGAUGACCCGAUUAAAGUUCCGGCGGAUGGAGAUAGGCGUGCGUCUGAUUAGGUAGUUGGUGAGGUAACGGCUCACCAAGCCUUCGAUCAGUAGCUGAUGUGAGAGCAUGAUCAGCCACACGGGCACUGAGACACGGGCCCGACUCCUACGGGAGGCAGCAGUAGGGAAUAUUGGGCAAUGGACGAAAGUCUGACCCAGCCAUGCCGCGUGAAGGAUGAAUGUCCUAUGGAUUGUAAACUUCUUUUAUAUGGGAAGAAACCCCCGGAUUCAUCCGGGGCUGACGGUACCUUAUGAAUAAGCACCGGCUAACUCCGUGCCAGCAGCCGCGGUAAUACGGAGGGUGCAAGCGUUAUCCGG